rnacentral:tRNA from 1 species
GGAAAGGUGCAGGAGUGGUUGAACUGGCACGCCUGGAGAGCGUGUGUACCGCAAGGUACCGUGGGUUCGAAUCCCACCCUUUCCGCAA